rnacentral:rRNA from 1 species
AACGAACGCUGGCGGCAUGCCUAACACAUGCAAGUCGAACGAGAUCUUCGGGUCUAGUGGCGCACGGGUGCGUAACGCGUGGGAAUCUGCCCUUUGGUUCGGAAUAACAGUUGGAAACGACUGCUAAUACCGGAUGAUGACGAAAGUCCAAAGAUUUAUCGCCAGGGGAUGAGCCCGCGUAGGAUUAGCUAGUUGGUGUGGUAAAGGCGCACCAAGGCGACGAUCCUUAGCUGGUCUGAGAGGAUGAUCAGCCACACUGGGACUGAGACACGGCCCAGACUCCUACGGGAGGCAGCAGUGGGGAAUAUUGGACAAUGGGCGAAAGCCUGAUCCAGCAAUGCCGCGUGAGUGAUGAAGGCCUUAGGGUUGGAAAGCUCUUUUACCCGGGAUGAUAAUGACAGUACCGGGAGAAUAAGCUCCGGCUAACUCCGUGCCAGCCGCCGCAGUAA